ensembl:snRNA U6 U6 spliceosomal RNA
GUGCUCGCUUGGCAGCACACAUACUAAAAUUGGAAGGGUACAGAGAUUAGCAUGGCCCCUGUGCAAGGAUACUUGUAAAUCUGCAAAGCUUGCAGUGAGCCA